GUCCACCGGUUUUCAGAAUCGCAAAGGAAAAAAAAGGCAUUCUCUCUUCUCCCACCAGCGGCCUCGAUCUGGGAUCGCCAGGGAUGCCGCCGCCGCCGCCACGGAUCCCACGGACGCCGCCUCCGCGGAUCGCGCGGCGCCACCUCGCCGCCACCUCGCCACCGCUGGUCGCCAUGGCGCGGCGUCACCCCGCCGCCACCUCAGCCAAGCGCCGCGCCGCCCAUCCGAACCCUAGCCCGCCCCCUCCGCCCGCCGACGGAUCGCUUCCGCUCCUCCACGCGGCGACCUGCGGCGACCUGCGCCUCUUGAAGAGGCUGGUGAGAGAUCUGGAUCAGGGCAGGGGCCGUCCCAGGGAGGUGGUGGAGGCGGCCAAGGACCAAGGUCUCGUGGCGCUGCACUUCGCUGCCGGGAAGGGAAGGCCACAGGUGUGCAGGUACCUGGUCGACGAGCUAGGGGUCGAUGUGGACGCCGUCGACAAUGGAGAAUUGGGCUAUAGGAAACUGUAUGUUGACCAGCACCAGUUUAUUUUUCGAAAUAAACCGGGGAUUCCGCCAUGCCCCGCGUCAAGUCCGGCUCUAGCGGCUGCUUGUUCUACCGGAGGAAGCACUCAUGGCGCUGCGAUGAGUUAGUGAGCAGGAGCACCCUGCAUCUGCUGGACUUUGAUGACGGUACACCACCAGAAGAUGCUUGGAGAAGAAAAUUAAGUAGUUACGCUAAUAGACUGAAGGAGUUCAAUGUGACGGUCAGAGAAGCAUUUAAAAUGGUAUGAAAAAUGCAAUAGUCAAACAGAGGUACUAACUAUCUGUGUUGUCAUUCUUCUGAAGUCUUGAGGAAGAUGUCCAAAUUAUGUUUUCCCCUUGACCAUCAGAUGAAGCUUGGUCUCCAGCUUUGGUCAUAUGUUCGAGAGGAAGCUUCUCAUGGAAGGAUGUUUAUAACUAGAGAAGGAUGAAGCAAAAGGUACUCCUCCGUUUUAGCUCCUGGCCAGCAUGAUGGUUUAAAGUAUGUUUUUUUCGCCCUGUCAGACAACAGAUUCUUAAUUUCCUGAAAUUUUCUCCAUGGAUGUUCAAUGGAUGCAAAUCUGGAAUGUUCUCUUCGGUCUUUGUAUGAAAGAAUAUAUAUAGCAGUCAUGACACAGUACAACAAUAACAAUUCCUUUCAGCCCCAAACAAGUUGGGGUAGGCUAGAGUUGAAACCCAGAAUAUCUCGUCAUGGUUCUGGCACAUGGAUAGCUAACUUCCAUGCGCCCCUGUCCACGCCGAAGCAAGAAAAAAGUACUACAGGAGAUCUGAUGUACAGGUGAUCACUGAAGCAAAAAAAAGUACAGGAGUUCUGGUGCCAGAUUGUUCACACAAACAUAUCCUUGCCACUUCUACAAGUAAUAUCUUGCAAUAUAUUCUAUGAUGCCUGAUUGUUUAACACAUGGAUUGACAAACGUGUUUUGGCUUGUCAUGUUUCCGAUAAUUUCAGUUAUUGGAACAAAAUAACCAGGGGUACUGGCUAGCUAAUGUUUGGUACUGGACUGGACUUUAUCAGCCAUGAUAAUGAUUUUUUUUUCUAAAGAAAAUGUGAAUUUGAUGCUAGGCUGUUCCCACAAGACCACAGAAUGUUGGUCACAAAAACCAAUCCAGUUCAUUUUAUGCCAGUCACAAAAACCUGUUUGUCUUGUCCUCUCUUCUUCUUCCCGGCAACCUUGGCACAAUUACUGUGAUAUUUUGUUUGUGUUCUUCGACAACCUUUAUAUCACGGGCUGCCUCCACGUCCACCUUCGUCUACGAGCAUAUAUCAUCACCAUGAGGUGCAUACAGCUCAUGUGCAUUCGAAGUUGAUGGAGUGACAAAUCAAGUUUCCAUUGUGAAAUAUAUUAACUAAUGUGUAAGAGAUAUGCUAUCAUUUUAAUUACUAUAUUCUAGCUGUUUAGUUCCUAGCUUUUUCGAUAAUGCAUAUUAAGUAUGUCUUGAAGUAAGCUAUCAUAGUGUAUUAGUUUCUUGUUGUUAAAGACAUUGCAAUUUACAAUGCGUAUGGAUGGUCAAAUUAAGUGCGCCGGCGUGAAAAGGAAAUGCCACACCCGAAGAUCCUUGUACUGUUUAUAAUGCGUAUGCAUUCCUUUACUAUUUUUCACCAUAAGAUCCUUUUAUCACUCAUUAAAAUUUCACAAGUUCUUGCCACACCCGAAGCUUCCGUUCUCGCUGACUUCACCGGAAUGCCUGCACCAUGUUCCACGGUACCAAUUUUUAAUCCUGUGUUUAGGUGCUUCUACAUGAACCCUGUGCAUAGUCUCGAUCACCACCCACCGGGGCAGCUACUUCUGCUGUCAGUAGCACUUUCCUCUGACAUAUGUGUUUUUCUGCCAUUGUGUGCUUCUACAUUAAUCCCGUGUCAUUGUAUUUAGGUUCUCUAAGGCCUAAACUGUGACUUUUCUUAAUUGUAUGUCUUACAACUCAUUUUAUUGUACUAAUUUAUUCAGUUGCACCAUUACUAGGUGGGGAGAGUUUGGGUUCGGAAGGUAGUGGGUGGGAGCGGAGGAAGGAAAGGGGAGAAAGAUGUGCUUUCCUCGCUGCAACGCACGGGCAAUUAACUAUAUUGCUAAUAAUUAUGAGGGCUCCUGCAGUGACACUACUAUUUUUGCAGGUGAAGCGACAACCAAGUUUCCAAGUUUAUGUCAGAAUACAAGAGAAGGGGGUUUAGUAUUUUGUUGAUGGCACAUGUUGGAAGGUCUGCAGGAGGUGCCUUUGAGGACUUGCUCGUCUACUCGAGCUUCACUGUCAGCGAAGUCUCCACUGGGUUGCCUAGAUCUGUCCUGAAUUGCUUCAUUGAUGACAAUUUGGAGAAGGCUCCGCUGACACUUACAAGGAUGUUUUCCUUUGUUAGAAAGACGAGGAUGCGCUGGAGAUAGACAUGGGGUGGUAAGAAAAUGACGAGCUCCUGAUGGUAUUAUGCUUGCUGGUCUGAACCAACAUGUAUUAUGUCAGUUUGUUGUUAAGAGUAUCUUGAAAAUAUAAAGCCACUGGAGGGCCAGUCAUUCGGUACCA